GCUAAGCUGCGGUUUUCUUGUUGUGUUGGCUAAAAGGUAAUUAGACAGGCGGUUUUUUAAGAACCGCAUCAUUAAACGAAGAUAGGAGCGGCGGUUCUCCUCUCCGCAGCCCUAAGAGCACACGUAAACGAAGAUAGGAACCGUAUCAACUCUCUGCGUUCCCAUCCCGCCCACUGUUCAACUAUCUCCAUAAUUCUCUCGGAGCGGUAGUUCACAUGCCUGACUCAGUCUAUAAUAAUCCCACGUACGAACUUCACAGAUUGUUUUCAAUGCUCUGUUCUCCUCUGUCGAUUUCGAUUGCCCUUUUCAAUUUUCCCAGAUUCUUUGAUGAUCUACUUCGAUUUUGAUGAGUCUGUAAGUUUGCCUCAACGUCGCUUUCAAAUCUUCUCAUUUUGGCUCUGAAUUUCUAGAUAUUUUCAUUGACUUCACUAUCUUCUUUGGCACUAUCUUCAGUUUCUUAGCACUAUCUUUGGCACUGCAUUCAUUUCCUAUUGAAAGGUACGAAUUUCCCAGAUUUCUCUCUUUUAUUUUCUUCUAAGCUUGAUUUUUUUUUUUAAUCUUUAAUGUUACAGCUUGGCCACCUGGAUUACUAGAUAAUUUUGCCCUAAUAUAAUGAAGAAUUUGGCAACUCCGUUUAGGGCACAAUUGGCUCACCAUAUUGCAACUGAGAGGUAUCAAUAUCCGAAGGAUUCAGUUCUAAUUUCAAUCACUAUCUAUAAAUUGCCAUCCACUUUCUGCAUAGAUUUGUGAAGAUGUAUGCUGGAAGAUGCUCUUCCCUUGAAUCAAAAGAAUGUCCAUGAGAAGAAGAAGAGAGCUUGCAAACAAAAUAUUCAAGGGAAAGACGAUCUGUCUUGUAGUGAGUGUUGCUCAUUGUAUAUUAUCGCGCGCGGCCACCUUCGCUUCAGCGAUCCAAUGGUGGCCAUAUAUAUCCAGCGGAGUCAAUUAGAGUGCCAACGAAAUGAUCAUGCAAAGGGAUGGGAAGAUGUUUCAACCUUAAUUUAUUAUAUAGGGUCUUGUAAAAUAAAGCUGGGAAGAAAGAGAGAUGAUGAAAAAUAUAUAAAGUGAAGAGAGAGAAAGAGCGGAGAUAAUGGAUUCUUAUUUAUUAAAGAAAUUCACUUUUCACACUUUUCUUUUGGAAUUUUUGAAAAAAAAAACAGUAUUUUAUAUUGAUAAAAAAAUUGGGUGUUAUCAAACAUUGAAAAAAUAGUGAAUUUACUUUCGGUUAAUAUCUUUCAAUAUAUAUUGUUUCGUAAUGUUUCUUUGACUGCUUUUCUUGUUGGAGCUCUUAUCCAUCUAACUCAAGUUUUAGGCCUCAGGUUUAGUCGCUUUUCAAUUUCGACAUAAUUCUAUCUUUUUUCUGAUCAUAUUAAGAACUUUAGCUAUUAUGUUCCCUUAAUUAGUUUAUUAUUAACAUGAUUUUUAUAUUAAUAAAUAAUUUUCAAAAAAUUAAAUCUUUUAAAAUGUAAAAUUGAAAAGGAAGAGAAUGGAAAGAGAGGUAUAGCGAUAGGAGCAUAAUAGCAAAUACCAUCGUAUUUCCCUUGUAACUUUUUUAUACGUUUUUCAGGUAAAGAAAAAGAAAAAAAAAACAAGUCGGAGGGAGGAUAAAUUUUCACCACCUAACCCUUUGAUUAGACAAUACUCAACAGUUUCUUAUGUCAUAUCGCAAUUAUGAUCCACAUAUAUUACCUAAGAUUAAUUAGUCUAUCAUCUGAUUCUUCAACCGUGCGAUUGCAUGAUUGGAUAUGAUUCGCAUAUUAAUAUAUGGUAUCAGUAUACACGCUUUACUAUUUAAGCAAAUAUAUAUAAGUAGUUGGUGGCAACGACAUGGAAAUGAUAGCAACUACCGGCAAAAUCAAAGAAACAGAGAUAUUCUGUUCUGGAAAAUUAUGUUGUUUUUUCUUUUCUCCUUCCUCAUACGUCAA